GACGAACGCUGGCGGCGUGCCUAAUACAUGCAAGUUGAGCGCUGAAGGUUGGUACUUGUACCAACUGGAUGAGCAGCGAACGGGUGAGUAACGCGUGGGGAAUCUGCCUUUGAGCGGGGGACAACAUUUGGAAACGAAUGCUAAUACCGCAUAAAAACUUUAAACACAAGUUUUAAGUUUGAAAGAUGCAAUUGCAUCACUCAAAGAUGAUCCCGCGUUGUAUUAGCUAGUUGGUGAGGUAAAGGCUCACCAAGGCGAUGAUACAUAGCCGACCUGAGAGGGUGAUCGGCCACAUUGGGACUGAGACACGGCCCAAACUCCUACGGGAGGCAGCAGUAGGGAAUCUUCGGCAAUGGACGAAAGGCUGACCGAGCAACGCCGCGUGAGUGAAGAAGGUUUUCGGAUCGUAAAACUCUGUUGGUAGAGAAGAACGUUGGUGAGAGUGGAAAGCUCAUCAAGUGACGGUAACUACACAGAAAGGGACGGCUAACUACGUG
rnacentral:rRNA from 1 species